rnacentral:rRNA from 1 species
GCGUGAGUGAUGAAGGUCUUACAGAUUGUAAAACUCUGUUGUAAAGGAAGAAACCUUACCAUAGGAAAUGAUGGUAAGCUGACGGUACUUUACCAGAAAGCCCCGGCUAACUACGUGCCAGCAGCCGCGGUAAUACGUAGGGGGCGAGCGUUAUCCGGAUUUAUUGGGCGUAAAGCGUGUGUAGGCGGUCUAUUAAGUCUAAGAUCAAAGUCCGAGGCUCAACCUCGGUUCGUCUUAGAAACUGGUAGACUUGAGUGUGGUAGAGGCAAGUGGAAUUUCUAGUGUAGCGGUUAAAUGCGUAGAUAUUAGAAGGAACACCAGUGGCGAAGGCGGCUUGCUGGGCCAUUACUGACGCUGAGACACGAAAGCGUGGGGAGCAAAUAGGAUUAGAUACCCUAGUAGUCCACGCCGUAAACGAUGAGUACUAAGUGUCGGGAAACCGGUGCUGAAGUUAACACAUUAAGUACUCCGCCUGAGUAGUACGGUCGCAAGGCUGA